rnacentral:SRP_RNA from 1 species
AGCCGGGGACUUGGCGUUCCCUGUACCUGAAGCUUCUGCAGGGGUGAUGUCGAACUGAGGGGGCUCAUGAGCUGCCCACAGCAAGUGGCGUUUGAUAUUCGGGUCUUACGCAAUAGAGCACUGUGAACCGUGUCAGGACGGGAACGUAGCAGCACUAAGCGGAUCGUUUUAUGUGACGUAAGGUUGCCUGAGUAGAGCUAACUGCAGUGGUAAC